GAUGAACGCUAGCGGGAGGCCUAACACAUGCAAGCCGAGCGGUAUUGUUUCUUCGGAAAUGAGAGAGCGGCGUACGGGUGCGGAACACGUGUGCAACCUGCCUUUAUCUGGGGGAUAGCCUUUCGAAAGGAAGAUUAAUACUCCAUAACAUAUUGAUUGGCAUCAAUUAAUAUUGAAAGCUCCGGCGGAUAGAGAUGGGCACGCGCAAGAUUAGCUAGUUGGUGAGGUAACGGCUCACCAAGGCGAUGAUCUUUAGGGGGCCUGAGAGGGUGAUCCCCCACACUGGUACUGAGACACGGACCAGACUCCUACGGGAGGCAGCAGUGAGGAAUAUUGGUCAAUGGGUGCAAGCCUGAACCAGCCAUCCCGCGUGAAGGACGACUGCCCUAUGGGUUGUAAACUUCUUUUGUAUAGGGAUAAACCUACCCUCGUGAGGGUAGCUGAAGGUACUAUACGAAUAAGCACCGGCUAACUCCGUGCCAGCAGCCGCGGUAAUACGGAGGGUGCAAGCGUUAUCCGGAUUUAUUGGGUUUAAAGGGUCCGUAGGCGGACUUAUAAGUCAGUGGUGAAAGCCUGUCGCUUAACGAUAGAACUGCCAUUGAUACUGUAAGUCUUGAGUAUAUUUGAGGUAGCUGGAAUAAGUAGUGUAGCGGUGAAAUGCAUAGAUAUUACUUAGAACACCAAUUGCGAAGGCAGGUUACCAAGAUAUAACUGACGCUGAGGGACGAAAGCGAGGGGAGCGAACAGGAUUAGAUACCCUGGUAGUCCACGCCGUAAACGAUGCUAACUCGUUUUUGGGCUUUAGGGUUCAGAGACCAAGCGAAAGUGAUAAGUUAGCCACCUGGGGAGUACGCUCGCAAGAGUGAAACUCAAAGGAAUUGACGGGGGCCCGCACAAGCGGUGGAUUAUGUGGUUUAAUUCGAUGAUACGCGAGGAACCUUACCAAGACUUAAAUGGGAAUUGACAGCUUUAGAAAUAGAGCUUUCUUCGGACAAUUUUCAAGGUGCUGCAUGGUUGUCGUCAGCUCGUGCCGUGAGGUGUUAGGUUAAGUCCUGCAACGAGCGCAACCCCUGUCACUAGUUGCCAUCAUUCAGUUGGGGACUCUAGUGAGACUGCCUACGCAAAUAGAGAGGAAGGUGGGGAUGACGUCAAAUCAUCACGGCCCUUACGUCUUGGGCCACACACGUAAUACAAUGGCCGGUACAGAGGGCAGCUACACAGCGAUGUGAUGCAAAUCUCGAAAGCCGGUCUCAGUUCGGAUUGGAGUCUGCAACUCGACUCUAUGAAGCUGGAAUCGCUAGUAAUCGCGCAUCAGCCAUGGCGCGGUGAAUACGUUCCCGGGCCU
rnacentral:rRNA from 1 species